AUCCAGACGACGAGACCCAGAUAGGAGGAAAUGCACAUCCUGGAU
rnacentral:hammerhead_ribozyme from 1 species